CUGGUAGUCCAUGCCGUAACGAUGAGUGCUAAGUGUUGGGAGGUUUCCGCCUCUCAGUGCUGCAGCUAACGCAUUAAGCACUCCGCCUGGGGAGUACGACCGCAAGGUUGAACUCAAAGGAAUUGACGGGGCCGGCCACAAGACGGUGGAGGCAUGUGGGUUUAAGUUUACGUAAGGACAACCGACGGAAGGAAACCUUAACCCUAGGUCGUUGUACAUCUAGUGCCAUCCUAACGAGAUUAGGAGUUCCUUCGGGACGGCUAAGACAGGUGGUGCAUGGCUGUCGUCAGCUCGUGUCGUGAGAUGUUGGGUUAAGUCCCGCAACGGUCGCGCGGCCG
rnacentral:rRNA from 1 species